rnacentral:rRNA from 1 species
ACCUACGGGGCGCAGCAGUGGGGGAUAUUGCACAAUGGGGGGAACCCUGAUGCAGCGACGCCGCGUGGGUGAAGGAGCGCUUCGGCAUGUAAAGCCCUAUCGGCAGGGAAGAAGCAAGACGGUACCUGACUAAGAAGCCCCGGCUAACUACGUGCCAGCAGCCGCGGUAAUACGUAGGGGGCGAGCGUUAUCCGGAUUCACUGGGUGUAAAGGGAGCGUAGACGGCCAUGCAAGCCAGGGGUGAAAGCCCGGGGCCCAACCCC